rfam:Triticum aestivum genome assembly, contig: Triticum_aestivum_CS42_TGACv1_scaffold_406846_5BL
AUAUUACUCCCUCCGUCCGAAAAUAAGUGUCGCUGAUUUAGUACUAAUGUUGUACUAAAUCAGCGACACUUAUUUUCGGACGGAGGGAGUAGUAU